UGACUCAGAACUGUUAGGAUAGGCCUAUUUGAGUAGCUUCCUUUUACAUUUACGAGCUUACUGGGGGAAAAUCCCAUUUGGAUAUAGCAAGAUAUAAUAACACAACAGAUUGUGUGGCCAAGCGUAAAUGUGAAUCAGAAGGCAGAACAAUGAUGGGUGCCAAAAAUUUCACUUAGAUUACUAAUCUGAUGGGGCUUCUAGACCUUGGAUGGACUCACGUUUAUGCACGGCGAACCGGAAGUAACUCCUACGAAUGGUUUGAUGGUACCCCUGUUACAGAGGGAUGGGGUCUUAACCAGCCUGACACAAACAGUGACUGUGUGGGUGUCGAUCUCAGCAUGGCUGAUUGGUGUAAAACAGGAGGACUGGACGAUAUCAUUUGUACAGAUUCCAGACAAUUCUGUUGUACUUAAAUGAUAUAUUAAAUUAAACCUUUUCAUCUGAAAGUCACAUAUUUGUAAAGAUAUUUAAAAGAGUUGAGAUGAA